AUGAUUUAAAUCGAAGUUAUAUAAAACCAACAUGAUUCAUAGUAAUAUAGUAUUUAUAUACACAUCUGAAAAGUGCAUGUUUUAUUAAAAUAUUUCCCAUCUUUUGAAAAUGCAUGUAAAUCAUGUGAUUCAUUAGUCUAUAUUUACAUACACGGAUCUGAUCUUUCAUUAAAUUGAAAUGUCGAAUUUCGCUGAUAACACUCAAUGAAAUAGUUGAUUUAUAAUCUUUAGAUUAAGUUUGGACAGGCCAAGAUUAACUGCAGCUUUUGAUUGUUCGUUGGUUAUAUUUUGCAUAAUCUAGGUAGUUUGUUUGUUUCAUGAAGGAACGUUUUGUUGAUAUUAUGUCUUAAUCAGAUUUUCUAUUCAAGGUUAUUUGGUGGCUCAGUAUAUCUGGUUGAAGAAAUUAGACAUUGACGGAGGCCAAUUGCUGGCCAUUGGAUGAGAUUGGAGAUCAGUUCUUCUGUUAAUACUUUCUUCAAUUAUUUAUUUUUUCUUCCCGAUGGGUUUAGUUUGAUAGCAUUUACUUUAUUUGAUUUGAUAAGUUGUCUUUUGAUCUAUGUGCUUAAGUAAUUAAUAGUAUUUAGGAAACUUAUACACGGUAUAACUUGGAUUCUAAGGUUGUGGUGGUUUGGUUUUUCAUGAUAAAUUGAGUGGUGUCGAUUUGGUUUUUUAGGGUAAAUUGUCAACUAGUUUGAUAAUGUAAAAUUGAAAAUUAUAACGCUCGGUACUUGGUUUGCUCAAAGGCAAUCAUGUCAGUAUUCACUACAAUCUGUCUGUGUUUGGGUCUAUCAUGUUAAUAUUUUUUAACCUUAAGUUUGUUUAGGUAAUAAUAAUAGUUGACAGGUGAUCUAUCAAGCGUGUUGAUGAUUUGCAUAAUUGGACAGUUAAUAGAGAAUUGACGAUAAAUCAUUGUUACUGAUGUUUACUAUAUAAUUCAGUGUUACUAAUAAGAAAUGGUUGUAGCUUUGAGGAGCGUUUAAUGACUUUGUGAUCAUGCCCUGUUGGUUUGAUUUAACAAUGAGGAUUACAUGGGCAGUAACUCUUGAAGGAUGUUUCCGUUGAUGGUAUUUCUCUUAUUUGGUUUGAUCAAUGCUCAUUUUUGACCAAGUGUGCUUAGCUGAUUAAUUGUUGUUAGGUAAGGUACAUUUGGUUGCUUUGACUUUAGUGACUUUUGGACAAGGAGCAUUUUGAUGACUUUGGGAUCAUGCCCUGUUGGUUUGAUUUAACAAUGAGGAAUACAUUGGCGGUAACCAUUGAAGUAUGCUUACUUUGAUAGUAUCUUGUAUUUGGUUUGAUCAAUGCUCAUAUUUGACCAAGUGUGCUGAACUGAUUAGUUGUCUUUAGGCAAGGUACAUCAGGUAGCUUGGAUUCUAGUGAAUUCCAUUUGGUGCCUGGAAGAUCUGAUUGAGGACUUGAUCUUUUCAAAAUUUUGUAGGAUAAAAUUAUCAACUGGUUGGAUCAGGAAACUGGUAUAUUCAUUAUAUGUCUGGCGCUUAGAUUUUUCUUAUAUAAAGGUUUUCAUGUCACCGGGCAGGGUGAGAUUGAGCUUGGACUUCUGAGAGUUGUGUGUUCUGCUGCCAGAGUAUAUCUAUACCUCUCCAUCAAUUGGAUGAUUAGUUUGCAAGGAAAUCAAAUUUAAUGGAUGUUAAUCAGGUCCUGUGAUUUUGUGAGAGCUUUGUUCACCAACCAGACUACAGAGACAUCAACUGGAAACUUAAUGCGACCAUGUGGUAAUCUGUUGGGUGGUAGAAUGAUAUCGAACUUGAAGGAUAGCAACUGUCAGACCAAUUGAAGACACAAAGGAUGCAAAAGGGACCAGCUGUAUGGUUAUCUAAUUACCAAUUAUUUUACUAAUUUGAGAUAUUUGUUACGUGGUUGAGAUUGUCGUCAAGCUGUUUUCUGGCUGGUAUACCGUUUAAGUUCAUAAUAAGAUGAUGAUACUUCUUCUGAUAAAUCUAUAGAUGGAUUGGAUUGCAUUGCAUUGCAUCGCAUCAAGAGGUUGUGAGCUCUUUUGAACUGUUUAUGAACACCAAGCCAAGGAAAGACAGGCAGUUCUUGAAUUACUGGGAAACCAAGCAAUGGCAUCAGAUUAUUUUGUCUCUUCUCUGUAUUUUCUAUUAUUUAGCUCCAUAUUGGUUCUGGUUUGUGGAGUUUAUGCUAUUUCAGAAUUUAGCUACUGUUUGAAAUAAGUAACUGUUGAUUGGAUUUCUUAUUCUGAUAACCUAGUAUAAUAUUGGAACCAAUUGUUUUUAUUAAUUUUA